GGGUUGUGAGGUUAAGCGACUAAGCGUACACGGUGGAUGCCCUGGCAGUCAGAGGCGAUGAAGGACGUGCUAAUCUGCGAUAAGCGUCGGUAAGGUGAUAUGAACCGUUAUAACCGGCGAUUUCCGAAUGGGGAAACCCAGUGUGAUUCGUCACACUAUCAUUAACUGAAUCCAUAGGUUAAUGAGGCGAACCGGGGGAACUGAAACAUCUAAGUACCCCGAGGAAAAGAAAUCAACCGAGAUUCCCCCAGUAGCGGCGAGCGAACGGGGAGCAGCCCAGAGCCUGAAUCAGUGUGUGUGUUAGUGGAAGCGUCUGGAAAGGCGCGCGAUACAGGGUGACAGCCCCGUACACAAAAAUGCACAUGCUGUGAGCUCGAUGAGUAGGGCGGGACACGUGGUAUCCUGUCUGAAUAUGGGGGGACCAUCCUCCAAGGCUAAAUACUCCUGACUGACCGAUAGUGAACCAGUACCGUGAGGGAAAGGCGAAAAGAACCCCGGCGAGGGGAGUGAAAAAGAACCUGAAACCGUGUACGUACAAGCAGUGGGAGCACGCUUCGGCGUGUGACUGCGUACCUUUUGUAUAAUGGGUCAGCGACUUAUAUUCUGUAGCAAGGUUAACCGAAUAGGGGAGCCGAAGGGAAACCGAGUCUUAACUGGGCGUUAAGUUGCAGGGUAUAGACCCGAAACCCGGUGAUCUAGCCAUGGGCAGGUUGAAGGUUGGGUAACACUAACUGGAGGACCGAACCGACUAAUGUUGAAAAAUUAGCGGAUGACUUGUGGCUGGGGGUGAAAGGCCAAUCAAACCGGGAGAUAGCUGGUUCUCCCCGAAAGCUAUUUAGGUAGCGCCUCGUGAAUUCAUCUCCGGGGGUAGAGCACUGUUUCGGCAAGGGGGUCAUCCCGACUUACCAACCCGAUGCAAACUGCGAAUACCGGAGAAUGUUAUCACGGGAGACACACGGCGGGUGCUAACGUCCGUCGUGAAGAGGGAAACAACCCAGACCGCCAGCUAAGGUCCCAAAGUCAUGGUUAAGUGGGAAACGAUGUGGGAAGGCCCAGACAGCCAGGAUGUUGGCUUAGAAGCAGCCAUCAUUUAAAGAAAGCGUAAUAGCUCACUGGUCGAGUCGGCCUGCGCGGAAGAUGUAACGGGGCUAAACCAUGCACCGAAGCUGCGGCAGCGACGCUUAUGCGUUGUUGGGUAGGGGAGCGUUCUGUAAGCCUGUGAAGGUGGCCUGUGAGGGUUGCUGGAGGUAUCAGAAGUGCGAAUGCUGACAUAAGUAACGAUAAAGCGGGUGAA
rnacentral:rRNA from 1 species